UGCUCCCUACGGGACGCAGCAGUGAGGAAUAUUGGUCAAUGGGCUUACGCCUGAACCAGCCAAGUCGCGUGAGGGAAGACUGCCCUAUGGGUUGUAAACCUCUUUUGUCAGGGAGCAACGCCGGCUACGUGUAGCCGGACUGAGAGUACCUGAAGAAAAAGCAUCGGCUAACUCCGUGCCAGCAGCCGCGGUAAUACGGAGGAUGCGAGCGUUAUCCGGAUUUAUUGGGUUUAAAGGGGGCGUAGGCGGAUGGCCAAGUCAGCGGUAAAAUCGCGGG
rnacentral:rRNA from 1 species